AACUUGUCUUGUAUGUAAUCACAAUUAUUUCUGUUUUUGUUUGUGUUUGUUAUGUCUUAGAUUUUUUAUCUAGAGUCUUGGAAGUUAGUCACAAGUGUUGUACAUGUACACUUUUUGUUUAUCCUUGGCUCUUGUUUUGUGUACCAAAGACUACGGUGUUGAUCCUGGAGAAGACGCAACACCAAAGAUGUCAGAGCUCAUGUAUUGUAGAGUCCAAACUGUUGGCGAUUCUUCCUUCUCUUGUCAUGCGAGGGUUAGUAACCCUCAAGUACAACGUCGGUUUUAAAAGAUGUUGAGGUAAUAUGGCAUUGUUUCUCUACUUUUCGUGUUUGUAUCUUCGAGAAAGAUUAAGAUUCAAAAAUCGUUUUUUUUUUUGUGAAAUAGGUAUGUGGCAUUCUAAAUGGAUGAAUUUAGAAAAUAUGUAAAGUAAAUUGCGAGAAG
rnacentral:lncRNA from 1 species